GAACGAGAAAGCGGGGGCAACUCCGCGAGUAAAGUGGCGACCGGGUGAGUAACACGUGACUAACCUGCCCUCGAGCGGGGGAUAACCCCGGGAAACCGGGGCUAAUACCGCAUAACAUCCUCGAUACGAAAGUGUUGAGGAUCAAAGGAGCAAUUCACUUGAGGAGGGGGUCGCGGCCGAUUAGCUAGUUGGUGGGGUAAUGGCCCACCAAGGCUGAGAUCGGUAGCCGGCCUGAGAGGGCGCACGGCCACACUGGAACUGAAACACGGUCCAGACUCCUACGGGAGGCAGCAGUGGGGAAUUUUGCGCAAUGGGGGAAACCCUGACGCAGCAACGCCGCGUGGAGGAUGAAGUCCCUUGGGACGUAAACUCCUUUCGACCGGGAAGAUAAUGACGGUAUCGGAAGAAGAAGCACCGGCUAACUCUGUGCCAGCAGCCGCGGUAAU
rnacentral:rRNA from 1 species